UACGAAGGGGGCUAGCGUUGCUCGGAAUCACUGGGCGUAAAGGGUGCGUAGGCGGGUCUUUAAGUCAGGGGUGAAAUCCUGGAGCUCAACUCCAGAACUGCCUUUGAUACUGAAGAUCUUGAGUCGGGAGAGGUGAGUGGAACUGCGAGUGUAGAGGUGAAAUUCGUAGAUAUUCGCAAGACACCAGUGGCGAAGGCGGCUCACUGGCCCGAUACUGACGCUGAGGCACGAAAGCGUGGGGGAGCAAACAGGA
rnacentral:rRNA from 1 species